rnacentral:rRNA from 1 species
CGGGUGAGUAACACGUGGAUAUUCUACCCGACAGUCAGGGAUAACAUUUCGAAAGGAAUGCUAAUACCUGAUAAGCCUACGCCCUCUUCGGAGGAAGUAGGAAAAGGUGGGGACCUUCGGGCCUGCCGUUGUUGGAUGAGUCCGCGGCCCAUUAGCUAGUUGGUAGGGUAAUGGCCUACCAAGGCUACGAUGGGUAGCUGGUCUGAGAGGAUGAUCAGCCACACUGGAACUGAGACACGGUCCAG